CAAUAGCGUAUAUUAAAGUUGUUGCAGUUAAAAAGCUCGUAGUUGGAUUUGUGGCGUACGGUGUGUUCCGGGCACUUGUUGUCUGAGUAACCUGCUGUUGCCAUCCUUGGGUGGAACCUGUGUGGCAUUAGGUUGUCGUGCAGGGGAUGCCCAUCAUUUACUGUGUAAAAAUUAGAGUGUUCAAAGCAGGCUUAUGCCGUUGAAUAUAUUAGCAUGGAAUAAUGAGAUAGGACUUUUUUGCUAUUUUGUUGGUUUGCGCAAAGAGGUAAUGAUUAAUAGGGACAGUUGGGGGUAUUCGUAUUCCAUUGUCAGAGGUGAAAUUCUUGGAUUUUUGGAAGACGAACUACUGCGAAAGCAUUUACCAAGGAUGUUUUCAUUAA
rnacentral:rRNA from 1 species